GGAUUGUGGCUCAGGGGUAGAGCGCUUGCCUACUAGCGUAUGUGAAGCACUGGGUUCGAUUCUCAGCACCA
rnacentral:tRNA from 1 species